rnacentral:rRNA from 1 species
AGAAUCAACGCUGGCGGCGUGCCUAACACAUGCAAGUCGCACGAGAAAGGGGCUUCGGCUCUGAGUAAAGUGGCGCACGGGUGAGUAACACGUGAAUUAUCUACCUCCGAGUGGGGAAUAAACUGAGAGAAAUCUUAGCUAAUACCGCAUAACACUUACGAGUCAAAGCAGCAAUGCGCUUGGAGAGGAGUUCGCGGCCGAUUAGUUAGUUGGUGGGUAAUGGCCCACCAAGACGAUGAUCGGUA